rnacentral:rRNA from 1 species
UAGGGAAUCUUCCGCAAUGGGCGAAAGCCUGACGGAGCAACGCCGCGUGAGUGAUGAAGGUCUUCGGAUUGUAAAACUCUGUUAUUAGGGAAGAACAUAUGUGUAAGUAACUGUGCACAUCUUGACGGUACCUAAUCAGAAAGCCACGGCUAACUACGUGCCAGCAGCCGCGGUAAUACGUAGGUGGCAAGCGUUAUCCGGAAUUAUUGGGCGUAAAGCGCGCGUAGGCGGUUUUUUAAGUCUGAUGUGAAAGCCCACGGCUCAACCGUGGAGGGUCAUUGGAAACUGGAAAACUUGAGUGCAGAAGAGGGAAGUGGAGUUCCAUGUGUAGCGGUGAAAUGCGCAGAGAUAUGGAGGAACACCAGUGGCGAAGGCGACUUUCUGGUCUGUAACUGACGCUGAUGUGCGAAAGCGUGGGGAUCAAACAGGAUUAGAUACCCUGGUAGUCCACGCCGUAAACGAUGAGUGCUAAGUGUUAGGGGGUUUCCGCCCCUUAGUGCUGCAGCUAACGCAUUAAGCACUCCGCCUGGGGAGUACGACCGCAAGGUU